GUGGCUCUGUUAUUUCUAUCCGAAGAAGUUAAUCAGAUGGGAGGAAAUAAGCCGUAAGAGUAUAAUAGAAAUUAUAAAAAUUCAUUUAAGUUUCAAUUUUUUUCUCUCCAAAUCUGUCCAAUUUAGUGGAGAAAAAGAUUGAACAUUUGAGGGGGUUUAUAUUCUCUCCAUUUCUCUCUUUUUCCUUCCUUUUCUUUCAUGAAAAAACUCCCAACUGAAAGAAAGUGUUAACUUUCUCUCCUAUUCCUUUCUCUUCUCUCCUAUUCUUCUCUCCCGACCAAGGUGUUAGUGAUAAAACCUUCCAUUAUUAGCUUGCUAUUUCUUGGUUAAUUUGCCAUCGAGAAAAGCAAGAUCCCUCAGUUCUAAAAGCUUCCCUUGUUAGGGAAGCCCAAGAUAAGUCUCGGUGCCAUUGUUUGUCCUUACAGAAACAAGGCUUCUCAUUGGUUCCUUGAUGACUAUAUAAGUUCUUCGGCUGAUCUUCAAUUGUGAUUUUGUCGGGUCAAUAGCUUGACCGAGUAUGGAGUAAUAUGUACUAAUAAUAGCCUUCAAGCAUCC
rnacentral:lncRNA from 1 species